GUCUGGUGUAUGUUUGUUGUUAUGAUUAUUGUUGUUGCUGUUGCUGUCGCUGCUUUGCUGUUAACUGGGCUGCAGUUAAGAAUUUACAAUUUGCUUAUCACUUGGCUAUAACAAAUGGCGGCUGCUGCUUUUUGUUUGAAACAACUCAAUUUAUGCGCGAGUAAAAAACACUUUGAACAGCCGAUUUAUGUGUUGAACUUUAUUUUUAUAACGUUGUUCACUAAUUUAAAUAUAUGUAUAUUUAUUUUUUUUAUAUAGCAGCUUCAAGGUAAUUUAAGGAACAUUUGGGUUUUAGGUGACACAUACACUGAUACACACACACACAUAAACACUUGACUUGUUAGCGCAGGCGGCAGGUAGAGUUGACUUUUUGGGUUUUAGUAGCGCGUUUGGCGAACCGACGCGACACCCGGUUGGUUGCAAUGUCAAAGGUACCCGUAAAUUAAUUUAUGACAUUAAUUUACGAGACAGCGCGAGAAUGGCACUACGACAAUUGAGUGGUAGUAGUAGUAGUAGGGUCUGGUCUCUGUUCAGUCUCUGUGUGUUCCACAUAAAAUAAAACACAGCGCGGCAGCCCCAGAUGCGUGCGGCUGAUAAGACAUUAGAAGCAGCAGCAGCAGCAUCGGAGUAGACAAUCUUUAUAUAUUCGGGACUCUGCACUAAAUAAGACUUUCGACUUUUGUACAGGCGGCAGCAGCAGCAGCAGCUGUGUGCCUUGACGUGUUGUUGUUAACCGACGGCGGCUGCGUAAUCAGCGUGAGGUUAGAGGUUAAGCGCGACAGAUUUUUUUUUUUGCAUACAAAAGUUUUUCUGAGGCGUGCGACGCGUUCUGUUGUUGUUGCCACGCGUUUACAAACUAACACGACUACUCGCAACACACACACA